UUCUCUUUUUACCAGAUACGGUGCUUUUAAUAAUGAUUGGUCAUGCUACUACAUUGGGCUGCUAAUAGUUAAAUGUUAAGCAGAUGCAUCUACUCUUGUCUCUGUGCGUGCGUGCAUGUGAUGGAGAGAGAGAGAGGUCCAUCUGCCUUGAACAGGCUAACAGGCUGGAUCCCGAAUCCAGAUUGCUGUUAAUCCAACAGGAUGACCCUGAUUAGGUCUUUCUGCCUUGAACAGGCUGGUUCCAGAAUCCAGAUUGCUGUUAAUCCAACAAGACGAUGACCCUGAUCCACUAAAUCUAAGAUAACGCCAUUUCUUACUAGCGUCUAAGCUUGUGUUACCUAAUAGUUGUUUGAACUACUGCUAUUAAUAGGGUUCGGUACAACCAGAAUUUGUAAGGUUUUGGAUCCAAACUGAGUAGUCUCACAUGCACAAGUUUGGAAAUUGUCCCAUUAUGAGGGUCCUGGUGGAUGAAUGGUCAAACUCUUGGUCAUUGCGUAGAUCAAGCUAAACUGCCUUAAAAGGCAUAAACUUUGAGAAACAUGUUACAUUUCUAGCCACUGAGAACAUCUGAAGUACAAUUCAUGCAUAAGGGAAUCAUAAACAUUACAUGAAAUGAUAAAUACUUGACAACUAAUCAGAGUUGUUUCUGCUCAUAUUAUUUUUAAAAUGAUAAAAUUCAAAUUACAGUUAUACCCAUAUUUUCUGUUCCCAAGUGAUAGUCUCUUUAAUUCCCUGUUAAGCUACAACAUAUUCUUUUUAUAACUAAAGAUCACUCUAGCUCUUUACAAAGUAAAGUAAACAAAUUUGGACUUCCAUGAGCUGCUUUGAUUAUAUUGUGUAUGAAUAAAGUAACAAUCAAUCUCAACUUGUUCAGUCCUACCGUGGAGUGAAGUUUUAACCAUAUCAACUAAUGUGUGAUGCCCCAUAUCUCUAUACUUGAAUCAAGACUAGACUAAGCUACUGUUGUUUAUGUCUUACUCUUACAAGAUACUUAGUUACCUCCAAUUAUGACAUAGUACACAGUAGCAUACUCUGUCUUCUGGUGAACUUGCCUAAUCUUGCAUUUGGGUAAGCAAGCUAGUUUAUGACCAUGAUCUUGAUAAGUAAAUCACAUCUAAGCACACCCAGUGUUUAAAGCACGUUUGGGGCUUUUUUUUGGGUGAAGCUCAGUAACUUUUGUUGAGUGCAAUUAAAUCGCGCUUCAAAAAUACCCUUGGGUUUUUUUUAUUUUAUUAUCAAACAAUAUGAAUGGUUAGAUUUAUUUAAAGUUUUGCAAUAGUGUAGCUGCUUUUAUGGAAUUCUUACCCAAAAAAAGCUAUUAUCAGAUCAUAGAAAGAUCUAAAUAAAAUCAUAUAUACAUUUGUUUGAAAAAAAAAAAAAGAAGAAGACUCCACUCUAUUUAUUAAGCAAAAGAUAUUGAAGGAAACAUGUAAUUAGGUGUAAAUUAAGAUUGCUAAUUUAUUCCUAAUUGCUGUAAAUUAGGGCAUAAUGAUUGAUUCCUAAUUGUUAUAAAUUAAGAAUUGAUGAUUGAUUGUAAAUUUGGAAUUGAUUGAUUGGCGAUUGUUGUAAAUUAGGGUUUGAUUAAUCGGGAAUUGUUGUAAAUUAAGGAUGAUUUUUUUCCUCAUUCUUCUAUCCAAUCCUUUGUAUAAAUUGUGUUAAUGAAAUUGAAUGGGUUUUUUUUUUUUUUCAAACUUUUACAAAAAACAAAAGGAGACUCAAUAUAAAAAAUAAAAAAUUAAUAAGGAAGCCGCAACAUAUUUAGAUCCUUUCAACUGAGAGUUUAGACCAGUUUGUCUUCCAAGUUCCAUUAGAACCAACAACUUAUCAUAUUAUAUCAUUUUAUAUGUCCUUUAUGUGUUUUUGCUAUGAUUGCAUGAACUUGUAAAUUGGUAUAAAAUAUAAAUGAAAAAUGGUAUCUCAUCUUUUGUUAAAUUUACAGCCCUCAUUCUUAUUUAAUUUUUUUUAAUGAUUGAUUUUUUAAUAGUUUAUAAUUUGUAUGCUUAUGAAAGUUUAUACUUUUUAUUUUAUUUAUAUACGCUUCACUUUGCUUAAGUAUGUGCUUUGCGCUUAAGCUCUAUAGGCCUUCUACACUUAAGUGCACUUAGCACUUUUCAAAACACUGGGUGCACCCCUAGAUAUCUCAUAACUCAGAUUGUUGCAUUUCGAUAACUUAUAUGGUUGAAUCUAAGAAUUGAUUGACGAACACUUCUAGCAAAUUAUCUAUGCAGUUUGAUCAGUUGAAUAAUUCAAUUUCCAAACUAAUCUCUGAUAUUGAUUUAAAUUUUCAAUAUAUCACCUUUAUUAGCUACAAGCUUUGAGUUUGGAUUUAUAGGAGCAUCAACAGACUUGCCUCAUAACAUCCUUGUCUCAGAAUAUAAAUAAAAAAAUGUCUUCAUAAAAGUAAUACCAAGACAGAAUCUAGAAGUGCCUAUACUGAAGAAAAACUUCAGGGUGCUACAUCCUUAGCACAAAAUACACCAAACAUGUAACAGUAUGAUUAACACCACAUCUCUAAAGACCAAAACACUUUAACAUUAUUACUAAAUCUUCUGAGCCAAGCAAUAGGAGAUUGCUUUAGGCUGUAUAAGGAUCUUCUUAUCUACUCACAAGUAAGAAAUCUCUUAGAUUGCUCCAUAUAUAAUUCUUGAUCAAGGUUUUCUUGUAAGAAAGCAUUUUUAACAUCAAAUGAAAAAGGCCACUGAAACAAGCAUCCAGAUAAAAUAGAAGAGAAAUAGAAGUGGUUUAACCACUGGGGAAAUGGUCCUAGAAUAGUCUGAGCCAUAAACAUGAGUAUAGCCUUGUCAGAGCUUAAUAAUCUGAUACUGGAAUUCUCAAGUGUUUCUUGAGAAUUCUAGGAGAUAGAACAGAGAGGGGAGAUAGAAUUAGAGAAAGAGAAUGACAGAAUUGAGAGGGAGAGAUAGCAAAGAAUUGGAGGGAAAGAAUUCCAAAUUGGAAUUGAAUUCAUUCAUACCUUUCCUCGGGUGAGAUCGGUCUUAUUUAUACUAAUCUCCCUUACAAUCAAAUGGGAAAUCUCCUGCCCAAUGACAACUUGCAUCCUAACUGCCCAACGCCACUUGCAACAAGCAUGUGCGUGUUUGUUACCCUAUUUCCCUCCUAAUUUCCCAAAUUACAAUAAGUUAUUUAGGCGGUACAUGACAAUUAUCCUUCCCUUGAGGAAUUUUUUGUCCUCAAGAAAUACAAAGUAAACUCGCUACCCUAGGGAACUGCUUGAGUAAAUUUGGGAGAUACUCCCAUGUGUUGUCAUUAGUGGGUAGCUGGUUCCACUUUACUAGCACUUGAAUUAGGGGAACCCCUUGAUAUACAACUCUUCGGUCUAGAAUAGCUUUUAGCUCUACUAUAGGCUCCUUCCUCCGAUUACCUGUGGGCAAACUGAGACUUGUUGGCUGACCCCGCAUACUUCUUUAGUAGGGACACGUGAAAUACCAGAUUAAUUUGAGAAUUCUCCGACAAUUGGAGCUUGUAGGCCACUUUGCUAACCUUGCUAUGAUGGGAAAAGGGUCGUAGUAUCUCGGACUUAGCUUUGUUAUUUGCUCAUCUGUCAUGGCCUUAAUCUGUGAGGGUCUAAGCUUUGGAUUCACCUCUCUCUUACUGAAAACUCCCUUUCACUCCUUCCCUUGUCUGACUGUUGCUUUAUUCUGUUCUGUGCCAUGGCCAGAUCUCUUUUUAGCAGCUGAAGAACCCCUUGCCUUUGUUAGAGGUGGUCAUCCACUGCUUUAAUAUUAGUAAACUCUUGGAGCACUAGUAGUAGGAGGGGUUUGUAUCCAAAGAGGGCCUCAAACGAUGACAUCCUAAUGUAGUUGUGGUGGCUGGAGUUGUACCACCAAUGAGCUAAAGCUAGUCGCUUAUGCCACUUCUUGGGCUGUUGGAAACUUAGGCACCUUAGGUAAUUCUCCAAGUAUUGGUAAAACUUCUCGGUUUGCCCAUUCAUUUGAGGGUGGUAGGCAGAUGACAUGCUAAACUUGGUCCCCAUAGACUUCAGUAGUGUCUGCCAAAAAAGGUUGGUGAAUACCUUAUCCCGGUCUGAGAUGAUAGUUCUAGGAACUCCAUGCAGCUUGAUGACUUGAUCAAGGAAUACCCUAGCAACCUCUUGGGUGGUGUAAGGAUGAGAUAGGUCGAUGAAGUGGGCAACCUUCGUGAACCUAUCGACCACCACUAAUAUGCAGUCUCUACUUUGACCUGGGCAGCCCCUUAAUAAAAUCCAUGGGCAUACUCUCCCAAGCUUGCCCUGGAAUGCCUAAGGGUUGUAAUAACCCUAGUGUGGCCACAGUUUCAUACUUGCACUUUCUGUAAGUUUCACAAGUUAUUACAAAUCUAAUCACUGUCUCAUUCAAUUUGGGCCAAAAAAAGAGUUGCCUUACCUUGUGGUAAGUAUUUUGAAUCCUCGAGUGUCUUCCCAAGGGAGACCCAUGUAGGGCCUGGAGGAUCUUCUCCUUAACCUGCGGACAGUCUCCAAUCAAUCACUAUUCUCCCCUUACAUCGUAACACCCCAUUUUGUAGUGUGUACCCUUCUUUGCUAUUAGGAUCUAACACCAACUGCUCCAGAAUCCCUUUGAUUUGCUCAUCUGAGUCAUAGUUGCUGGCCACCUCCUGGUACCACUCUAGUAUUAAUGCGGUAAUGGCUGCUACCUCUCCUUUUUCCUACCACCACAUUGUCCUUCCCUUUCUUAUAUUGUAUAAUGUAAUCAAGACCCAUCAUCUUAGCCAUACCUUCCAUUUGUAGUUGUGUGUGGAGUUUCUGUUGCAGCAAGUACUUCAAACUCUGGUGCUUAGUCUUGAUAAUGAAUUGGCUACUCUCUAAAUAGUGUCUCCACUUUUCUACUGCCAUUAAGACUGCCACAAACUCCUUCUCAUAGAUACUCAAUCCCUUAUGCCUUGGAGCCAAUGCAUGGAUGAGGAAGGCUAUGGGCUUGCCCUCCUGUGUCAAUACAGCCCCCACACCAUUAUCACACGCAUUAGUCCCUACCGCUCAUUGCUUGCUUCAAUUGUCCAAUGGCUGCCUCAGCUUUCGGUCCCCAUCUAAACCCUUCCUUCUUCAACAACUAUGUUAGUGGCCUACUUAUCACUUCAUAUCCCUUCACAGACCUCCUGUAGUACCCUGUCAAGCUUAGGAAUCCCCUUAAGGGUUUGAGGGUGAUGGGUCUUGGCCACGCUUGCAUGGAUGCCACUUUGUUCGAGUUAGUACUAACCCUUGCACCAAAGAUAACAUAUCCCAGGUAUUUGACUUGUCUUUGAGCAAAUGAGCACUUUGACAUCUUAAUGUACAAUUGGUUAACUCUAAGGAUCUCAAAAGUAGCCUUUAAGUGUGUAAGGUGUUGGUCAAAAGUGUGAUUAUACACCAGUAUGUCAUCGAAGAACACAAGGAUAAAGUUUCUUAGGUGCAGUUCAAAUAUUUGGUUCAUUAGGGAUUGGAAAGUGGUUGGGGCGUUGGUAAGGCCAAAGGGCAUUACUAAGAAUUCGUAAUGGCCCUAGUGGGUUCAAAAUGCAGUCUUAGGGAUGUCUUGUGGGCUCAUGCUAAUAUGGUGAUAGCUUGCUCUGAGAUCAAGUUUGGAAAAGAUAGUAUCAUCCCUCAGUUCAUCUAGCAGAUCUUCAAUGAGGGGAAUGAGAAAUUUGUCUUUGACAGUCAUGGCAUUCAAAUGUCGAUAAUCCACGCACAAGCGCCAUGAACCGUCCUUUUUGACUAAUAGCAUAGGGGAUGCAAAAGGGCUGUGGCUGGGCUGAAUUAGAGAAUGUUGCAACAUUUCUUUGACCAUCCUCUCUAUUUUAGUUUUUUGUGCUGGGGGGUAAUGAUAGGCUCGAGCAUUACAAGGUUCAAAUUGAGGCUUUAAGAUAAUGGAGUGGUCGUGGGCUCGGGGUGAAGGUAAGGGUUUAGGCUCUUUAAAUAGAUCCUCAUAUUCAACCAAGAGUAAAUUGAGUAAGUCAAGUUGUUUAUUGGGGUGGACUGCUAACAACUAGCAUUAGCUCACUUCCUGCUCCUUGAUCCUCCUCUUCUUCUUCCAAUGCUUGGAUAGAGAAGAGUUGGGCCACCCUAUUCAUUUUAUGCUUGAAGAUCCUCUACAACCUUUUUCUUGUAAUCAUCUUACACAUUCCCACUUCCUUGUUACCCACUAAUGUCAUCCUCCUCCCCUCCUUUUCAAACGUCACCUUCAUUCUGUUGAAAUCAAAGCAUAUGGGACUCACAUGUUUCAUCCAAUCCACAUCCAAAACCACAUCACAUCCCCCCAAGUUGAGUAGCCUGAGGUCAGUCUCGAAGUUUUCUCCUUGCAUGGCCCAAAGGCCAAUUUACUAACCACUUUGCUUUCAUCUUCCAUAGUCACCGUGAGAGGUUGUUGUACUUACCCCUUCCGCCACUCUCUUCCACCUUAAUAAUCUUAUUAUUGGCCAACCCUCUCAAAGCAUGCAAUGAAAUCUCGCCAUUGUCUUCCUCUCCUUCUUCAGGUGUCUCAAUUAUUUCUUCCUCCUUCACCUUCCAGUAGAAGCAAUUGCUUCUUGCAUUGGUGUCCCAGGAAAUACCUAUCCCCAUGUAUUUUAGGACUUGGAAGGGGUAAGUACUCCCCUGAAAAUCUCCCUCCCUUGAUUCUUCCCAAUGGGGGUCAACGCAUUGUGUGUUCCUCCCUUGUUCAUCAGCCUCUGCUUUUUCAUAAGCGCUUCCAUUCUCAGCUCAUGUAAUCUUGUGUUGUCGGUAGGGUCUUUGGUUGCAAGACCCUUACUAUAGGUCUUAACUCUUCAUUCAAUCCACUUAUAAAGCUAGAGACAAAAUAAGCCUCCGUGAGGUAAGGGUUGUGGUUGAGCAUCAAUGACUUUAACUCCUCAAAUUUCCUCUAAUAAUCCGCCAUUGAUCCCCCUUGUCGGGUCUUAUUAAACUCCUCUACUACAUCGAUCAUCCAUCUUUCUCUAAACCUCACAUAAUUCCUCCGCGAACUCAGUCCAAUGGCAUUACCUGAUAAGGGCAACAGAAGAGAAGGAAUAGGCAAUACCUGGUCAAGACGUUGUGAAUCAGGCUAAACAACCGAGAAGAAAGACUGUUGUUCAAAGAAUGUGACAUCAGCAGACAUAAGAUAGCGAUUCAACUCAGGAGAGUAACACUUAUAGCCUUUCUAGAACCGGGAGUAACCGAGGAAAAUACACUUGAGGGAUUUGGCAGCAAGUUUAUCCUGUCCCGGUGAAAAGGAAUGUACAAAACAGACACAUCCAGACACAUCCAAAUACACGAAGGUGAAUAGAAUAAAGGGGCUGGGAGGGGAACAAAAGAGCGUGAGGAAUGUUGUCCUUUAACACUGAAGAUGGCAUGCGAUGCGAUUGAUCAGAUAACACGCAAUAAGAACAGCAUCUCCCCAAAAUUUGGUGGGAAGAUUGGCAUGUAAAAGUAGUGUUUGCGCAGUUUCAAUGAUAUGGCGAUUUUUACGCUCGGCAACACCAUUUUGUUGAGGUGUAUAAGGACAAGAAGAUUGAUGCAGAAUGCCACGAGUAGUCAUAAAAGUAGUAAAUUGAGAAGAAAAGUACUCAGGGGCAUUAUCACUACGUAAAGCACGUAUAGAAACUCUAAACUGUGUUUUUAUUUCAACAGUGAAUGUCUGAAAGACAAAAAACAACUCAGACUGACUCUUCAUGAGAAACAACCAAGUGCAUCGAGAAAAGUCAUCAAUGAAAGUAACAAAAUAUGAGAAACCAAGAGUAGAAUUGACAUGACUGAAAAAAGAACUACGUGCGUGUUUACCAUGCUGACAUGACUCAGAAUAAAAAAUAGACAACGAUGACAAACUAGGAACUAAUUUCUUCAAUUUGGAGAGGUUGGGAUGACCAAGACGAGAGUGGAGAAGAUCUAGGGAAGUAGCACUCAUGCAAGCCAUCGGCACAGUAAGAUGAUAGUGACCCUGUGAGUCACGCCCGACGCCAAUCGUCCGCCCUGUACCAUGGUCCUGUACACAAACAGAGGUAGGAGUGAAAGUGACUAAGCAGUUAAGGGUUUUAGUAAACUGGCUAACUAAAAUCAAAUUAAAAGGACUGCCAGAGACAUAAAAAACCAAAUUUAAAGAUAAAGAUGAAGUGGGUGUGGUUUGGCCUAUCCCUUUAACUGCAGUUUUGGCGGCAUCAGCCAGGGUAACUGUAGGCAAGGUAUCAGAAUAAGUGAGGAGAAAAGAAGUUCAUUACCACACAUAUGAUUAGUAGCGCCAUAAUCUAUAAUCCAAGGACCAAGAGAUGGGCUUUUAGCAACGCAAGUAACGGGAUUAUCAGGAUGAGACUGCUGGGUGGCCUGAAACUUCAAAAAGACAUCAUACUUAGCUGCAGACAUAGGUAUCAACUGUGAACCCGGUGCAGAUUGGACAGAACUAGGAUCACUCUGGAAUGCAUGAGCUGCAUUGGUAGAUGAUGUAGGCGGAGCAGCAAGCCGACCAUGUUUUUUCCAACACCUGUCGUCAAGAUGACUCAAUUUCUUACAAAAGGUACAAUGUGGACGUGUCCGAUUAUUAUUACGGCCUCUAUUUCCUCCUAAGUGAGAAGCCUGAGACGCAAGGGCUGAAGAUUCGGCUAGAGGAACAACAUGAGAAGAAGAUGACAUACCAUGUGCACUGGUCAUGUUCAGUAACCUUUUAAAAGAGUCCUUCAUGGUAGGAUUAGUGGAGCUAGUCAAGAUUUAAUGCAUGAUGGCAUCAAAUUCUGAUUUUAGACCGAAAAGAGCAAUAACCAUAAAAAACUUAUCUCUUUGAGCAACCUGUUUGGUCUUGGUUGUGGUAAUGGGGAGAAGAGCAUCAAAUUCUUGCAUGAGAACCCGAACCUGUCCCAAAUAAGAUUCCAUGGACGACUCUUGCUUCAGAUUCUUGAUAUUAGAGACCACAGUGUACAAACACUGGAUAUCAUUCGUAUAACAUUCUUCAGCUUCCUUCCUGAUAGAACCUUUCUUGUUUGAUUGAAUUCAAACUCUUAUAGUAGCUUCAAUAAUGGAAAAUAGCAAAGACAAGAAAGAAAACAAAAGAAAUCAGACCUAUUUGAGAGGGCCUCACUCUCCAACGAUUUCUUCAACAAAUUUUCCACACCUUCUCUCUCCUCCACUCUUCCCUUUUAUAUCUCUCCCCUAUUCUGUUUCAGCCACGUAAAAUAAUAUUCUCCUCUAACCAACUUCUGACUGUUUUGCCCCUAACCCAAUUUCCUUGGCUGCCCUUAUCGCUUCUCUCCUUUUACGUGUUUGAUAGGUAAGACUAAUGGGAGUCCUAACACUUCCACACGUCAACACAAGUUUCAAAUGGCCGAAAGAGCUGCAUGAUGGAUGGAUCAAUGGACUGCCAUAGGAGACUACAUAACUGGGCAUCAACUUGUUCCCAUCUAGCCCGAUUGGCUUUCGGCACACUUUCAGCCUUUGUGGUAAGAUGAUCAGCUUAGCCUUGCCCUUUGAACCACAUUUUGAUAGAGGCUGCCCAUGAGAGAUAAUUGGCAGACCCUAUCAACUUGAUAAUGGUGAUAUUGACUGUGCCAAGAUUGGAGACAAUAAAGGACUGAGAGGCAACAGGGGCAGCAGGUGUAGUUGCGAGAGUAGCACCAACAAAAAUUGCGUUACUGAAGUUAGACAUAGCGAGGAUUUGACACCAGGAAUAGGCCUAGGGCAGGGAGGUGAGCUGAUCUGGAGAAGCCGGGAGAAAACGGUCGGCGGAUGCGCCUUCACGCACCAGCACGUGGGGGCAGACAGAUGCAUGUGGCGGCGGCGCGUUGGAGCUCCGGUGGCUACAAUUUUCCGGCAGCAACUCGGCCUGAAGGUGGCAAACCCUAGGGUGGGGUCGGUUCCAGCAAAAGAUGGUCGGACAGUGAUGUUCCGGCAUGAACGGUGAUGAAUAGAAAGAAAACUAGGUUUUUAGGCCGCUGAAAAAAGAUACACAGCGGUGGCUAGGGUUUUUCUCACCGGUGGCUCUGAUAUCAUGUGAGAAAACAAUUAUGAGAGAAAAACUAAGAGAUUAGUCUCUUAGUAUGUUAUUUAUAAUAGGCACAACGGGGCUAAUAAUCUACGGGCUUAGUCUAUGGGUUUAACCUAAUUACACAUAAUUAUAACAAAUAAAUAAAUAAAACUCAUACAACAAUAUGCAAUAUAUCUAAUAAUUCUAAUAAAUACAAGGAAGAGAAAAUAAGGAAACAUGGAGAAAAAGUUCAGAAUUAGGUGAUUUAUGCUUUAACCCUAACGAGUGCAUCCAAUUGAUGAGAUAAUAUGCUAUAAGAUGGCAUCUCUCCAUAAUAGCACUAGGUAUCUUCAUACUUCAUGCAAAAGAGUAAACAAGGAGGCUGUUUCAUAUUCUUUGUUAUUUUUUUCAGCAGCUCUUUUUUGUUGUGAGGUUGAGAUCAAGAAAAUUGAUAAAUUAUAUGAUCAGUAAUAAAAUUGUAAUCUAAAUAGAAAAGGCAUGGAAAAUAGAAAACAAUUUAAAAGAUCAUUAACAAAUGUAACGAAAACUUCUUAAUCACAACUUUAAGAUUGUGAAAAAAUAAUUAGGAGAGAAAAAACCUAAGAGACUAGUCUCUCUUAGCUUGUUAUUUAUAAUAAGUAUAAUGGGACUUAAACCUAUAAGUUUAAUUUAAUUACAAAUAAAACACACAUAUAAUAAUUAUAAUAUAUACUAAUAAUUCUAACACUCUCCCUCAAGCUAGAGUAUAGAUAUCAUAUGCACCAAGUUUGUUACAAAUAUAUUCCACUCGAGACCCUUUAGAGACUUGGUGAAGAUAUCUGCAAGUUGAUCAUUAGAGUUAACAAACUCUGUAACAAUAACACCUUUAACUAGCUUUUCUCUAAAAAAGUGACAGUCGAUUUCAAUAUGCUUACUCCGCUCAUGGAACACUAGAUUGGAAGCAAUGUGUAAGGCAGCCUGAUUAUCACAAAUAAGCUUCAUAGGAGAACUGAGGAACUGACUAACUACACUCACAGUAAAAGCAAUGUCAGGAUGAGUGACUGUGAGAUAGUUCAACUCAUCUACCAGUCUCCUAUACCUUCCAGGAUCUGAAUAAAACUCCUCCUGUCCCGGCAAGAGUUGGAUAUUCGGAUCCAUUGGGGUGUCAACUGGUUUGCAAUUCACCACACCAGUUUCUUCUAAGAUAUCAAGUGCAUACUUCCUCUAAUAAAUUGAGAUACCAUCUCCUGAUUGAGCAACUUCAAUACCUAAGAAAUAUCGAAGUUGGCCUAGGUCUUUGGUCUGAAAGUGCUGAUGUAGAUGUUCCAUCAGCUUCUGCAUUCCAACUUGAUCACUCAUUGUGAUAACAAUGUCAUCUACAUAAACAACAAGGUAGAUGCAUAAGGAAGAAGAAUGGCGAUAGAAAACCAAAUGAUCAGUCUCACUUUGAGUGAGACCAAAGGCUUGAACCACAGUGUUGAACCUGUCAAACUAUGUCCGUGAAGAUUGUUUCAAACCAUAGAGAGACUUCUUGAGUUUGCAGACUACAUUGGACUCCCCCUGAGCAACAAAAUCAGGUGGUUGCUCCAUAUAUACCUCUUCUUGCAAAUCACCAUAAAGAAAGGCAUUUUUAAUAUCAAGCUGAUAGAGUGGCCAAUGACGCAUAGCAGUCAGAGAAAGAAAAAGGCAAACAAAGGCCAUUUUCGCAAUAGGAGAGAAAAUAUCGCUGUAAUUCAGCCUAUAGAUCUGUGUAAAGCCUUUGGCAACCAAGCAGGCCUUAAGACAUUCCACCUGGCCAUCAGGACCCACUUUGGGAGUGAAUACCCAACGACAACCAAC